rnacentral:rRNA from 1 species
UACGGAGGGAGCGAGCGUUGUCCGGAAUUAUUGGGCGUAAAGAGCUCGUAGGCGGUUCAGUAAGUCAGGUGUGAAAUCUUUGGGCUUAACCCAAAGCGUGCACUUGAUACUGCUGUGACUUGAGUUCGGUAGGGGAGUGGGGAAUUCCUAGUGUAGCGGUGAAAUGCGCAGAUAUUAGGAGGAACACCGGUGGCGAGGGCGCCACUCUGGGCCGAAACUGACGCUGAGGAGCGAAAGCGUGGGUAGCAAACAGG